rnacentral:lncRNA from 1 species
AGGUCUGUGGCAGGCCGUGAGACGGUGACCAGAGAAGCAGUCAGCACUCACGGCCCCUGCCCUUUCAGAGUUUACGCUUGCUUGGAAGCCUCCAGGAUGGGGAUAAGCACAAGACAUUUAUGCUGGAUUUCAUCUAGGAAGCACUGGUGGAAGGAAGAGAAAGCAGCCCACACAGCAAGGUUCAGGAGAAGAUUCCCAUGAAGGACAACUGGGGUUCAACCCCAUCCAGCAGGUGACAUGGAGCCGGCCUCGGAGGUGUCCUCACCGUGGGACACUGGCAUCUGAGCUACCUCAGGGCGUAGCCGGCCGAUGUUCCCAGCCUCCCCCUGGGCACAGCCAGCCCAGGCCAAGUGGUCUAGCGAACACUCUGUGUGGCUUCCCUCAUAAAUGCCCCCCAGGACUCAGAAUUCUCACCCCAAAGGAUUUGAGACCGAGUCUGCAAGACACGGAUCGUCCAGAUGAGUG